UAGGCUCCGUCAUACAUGAAACUCUUUUUCAUGCUAUUUGUACGCGGUUUAGGUAAGCAAAGACUACUCGAAAUAUCCCGAAGAUUGUAGUUUGUCAUCUCACCUUUAUAUGUGAAAAGAUUAGUGAGUGACUCCGGACCCAUUUUAUUUAAUAUUUUGUACAUUAAUUUUGCUUUAGCUUUUUGUCUUUCCGUUUUGAGUGGCACCCAGCUCAAUGCUUGUAAAGCAACAGAAUGUUCUGUGUCAUUGCUCAUAUUCAUGAUAAUUCGAGCAGCUCUAUUUUGGAGUUUUUGGAGUCGCUUUGAUUGUGUUUCCCCAAACAUAUCCCAUACUUCACAACAAUAAUCGAAGUAUGGCCGAACAAUUGCAUUAUAUACAGAAAUAAGAGUUUGUCUAUCAGUAAACUCUUUUAAACGCCGAAGAGCCGAUAUUCCUGCUGUUAUUUUCUUACAAAUAUUGUCAGUAUUACUUUUCCAAGACAAAUGCUGGUCAACUGUCACUCCAAGAGUUUUACAUUCGUAAACUUGUUUAAUUGGUUUGUUUUCAAUUUCAAUAUUAGGUUGUGAAUUUGAAACACUUUUGAUCAUUGGC